rnacentral:rRNA from 1 species
AUGCUCUGCUCCUCCCUCCCCUCCGGCAAGAUCCAGCACGCGGCCUCCCUCUCCUCGAUCCAGAUCGAGACACCCCGCCGCCCCGCCUUCGUCUCCCUCCGUCUCCCACCCGAUGGAGGCCGCGGUGGGGGAAGCGAGUGGUCUCGGCUUCCCCUCCCAUCGCCGCACCACUCGUCCGCUAGCUCCCCACGCAGGCGGAUUCGGAUGGAGGCGGCCGUCGCCGGGCACGACGACUCCAUGGACCGCUCCUCCGCACCCUUCUCCCCCUUCGCCGAGAAGCUGGACUGCGCCGGCGGCGCCGGCUCCCCCACCCCCAAGAAGGCGCCCCGCAAGGUCCCCAAGACGCCCCACAAGGUGCUGGACGCGCCGUCCCUGCAGGACGACUUCUACCUGAACCUCGUCGACUAG